rnacentral:rRNA from 1 species
UACGUAGGGUGCAAGCGUUGUCCGGAAUUAUUGGGCGUAAAGAGCUCGUAGGCGGUUUGUUGCGUCGGCUGUGAAAUCCCGAGGCUCAACCUCGGGUCUGCAGUCGAUACGAGCAAACUAGAGUGUUGCAGGGGAGACUGGAAUUCCUGGUGUAGCGGUGAAAUGCGCAGAUAUCAGGAGGAACACCGGUGGCGAAGGCGGGUCUCUGGGCCGAAAUUGACGCUGAGGAGCGAAAGCGUGGGGAGCGAACAGG